UACGGAGGGGGCUAGCGUUGUUCGGAAUUACUGGGCGUAAAGCGCACGUAGGCGGCUUUGCAAGUUAGAGGUGAAAGCCCGGGGCUCAACUCCGGAAUUGCCUUUAAAACUGCAUCGCUAGAAUUGUGGAGAGGUAAGUGGAAUUCCGAGUGUAGAGGUGAAAUUCGUAGAUAUUCGGAAGAACACUAGUGGCGAAGGCGACUUACUGGACACAUAUUGACGCUGAGGUGCGAAAGCGUGGGGAGCAAACAGGG
rnacentral:rRNA from 1 species